AUGAUGUGUUCCAUGAAAGUAUAUUUUCCAGACAACUGAAAUUUACUUCCUAAGGCAAAGACCCUGAGAAGCAUUCCAGGAGCAAAGCAGUAGAAAGGAAGAAGAGCACCAAACCAUUCAUUGAGGUCUCUCGGGGCAGGAUGAGGGGGAAAUGUGAACAAAAGCAACAGCUCUCUUCAGUUUCCACAAUGUCCGGCGACCCCAAGACUUUCGAGCUCUUUCUUGAGGGCCAGCAGGCAGCUCGCGAACACAAACCCGGGGCCAGCCGCCUACUGCUGCUGCUGCCGCUGCCGCCGCCGCCGCCACCGCUGCCUCCGCCGGCUCUGCGCACCCGGGACUUUUCAUGCACCACACUCACCGCCUCCUUCCCUCCGUGUCCUGAAAAGUGCGACCGUUCUCCCAAG